CAUCCGAAACUCUUUUGAAUAAUAGUGAGCAUGGGCAACCUUUUCUUGUUCCUGAUCUUAGUGGAAAUGGUUUCAGUUUUUCACCACUGAAAACGAUGUUGCCUGUGGGUUUGUCAUAUAUGGCCUUUAUAAUGUUGAGUUUCACUCGCUCAUUUGGUGCCGGGGGCAGAGGCCUCACACCUGGCUCUUCAGACCAGAAUCCAUAGUGCAAAAUGGCUGCUGAUCCCUCAGCCAGACGGGCUCUGUUAUCAUUCUUUUUAGUAAACAUGUAUUGAAGGCCACUCUGUGUGAGAAGUCGAAUAGUGCGAGAAAUAUUUUAAGUCCCUGAUGCUGAAAUUAAUAUAAAAAUAAGUAUUGACUUUAUUUCAUGAAUCAAUAUUUGAAUAACCAAGUAAACAAACAAAUCAGGCUUGAAAUCAGAGAGACAUGGGUUCAAUUCCUUGCCAUCGUUCCUUGAUGAGCUUUUGCAACUCCAGGCAAGUGACUUAACCUCUCAGAGCCUUUUUCCUCAUAUGUGUUAUGCUAUUCAAAGUAUCCAGCUUGCAGGGUGGUUGUGAGGAUCGAAGAGGUAAUACAUAUGGAAAGUAGCUAACAUGCUGUCUGGUAAGUAAGCCAUUCAAUAACUGUUUGCUUUAGGGAUUUUCCCCUUUUUCAAUUCCAGAUAUUCAUGUUUUAAUCCUAAAGCAGAAAUCAAAUCUAUCCCAAGUGGGCCGAUUUUCUGUGGACUAGGAUACCCUUUUACUUCUGUAGCCUCAGGUGAAACUGACAUCCUGUCCCAACACAACAUUGCAGGAGUGUUAUUAGAAACCACACACUUUGCUGCAGGGGAGGAAGAAAAAAGGAAAGAAAGAAAAUCAAGCAUCUGGUACAUGUGUUAUUGAUUUGGAGAUGUGGGCAAGCUGGCAGUCUGUAGUUGCUCUUUUCCUGAAGUGCAGAGCUGUCAGAAAUCAAUAUGCUAAAAGCAGUUUUGGAAAGCAAUCUCAGGAACCCCCCAGGGGAUUCUGAGAGCUGUUGCUGCAUUCAUCCUAGCUCUACGCAAUCCCCUACCCUAACCUGGUACUCUGUAAGAUAAGCAGUCAGUGCACUAUCUCCUCCCUCCCUGUUACAGAGAAGAUAAAGCUAUUCUGUCCAUCCCUCAUGGGUAGGCCCAAGAGCUUUGAAUCACUGUUCCAGCAGUGGAGUCAGAUUGAGGAUAGGAGAUUGAUUUCAUUUGACUUGAAAUUACUAAGUGGUACUGAUAAUAGCACCCUCUCUUGGAGCAUGUUAAACAGUGACCAGGGCCAGGUGAAUUUGCAUCUCUUCUGAGAAUUCUUGAGGGGAAGUGUGGCAGUAGCAAUCAACUUCCAAAUUUACACUUAGGUCUCAAUCUACACUGAGAAUUGUAACGCUAUUGGUGAUAAUAAAAAUAGUAACAGCCAUCAUUUAUUGAGUAGUUAUGUGCUAAAUUAUCACAACUCUGUGGGGAAACCAAGGCUUAGAGAGAGAGAGAGGAUAAGUAAUUGGCUUAAGUUUCCACUGGUAAUAAGGAGGAAAUAACAAGGGCAAGUUUGCAAGCCAGAUCUGUCUAAAUGCAGAGCCUGACCAGCUACACUCCACACCACCCUGCCUCUUGCCCAGAGUUUUAUAGGACCUGUGGCUUGUUCUUGCAAAAUGACUGUCUAGGUCUGGAGGACUCAUUUGUGGACAGGGGCGCAGUCACUACUGUUUGGAGCUGGGGAGUCAAGAAGCAAAUGAGCCACACAGGGUUUCAGCCCAGGACCUCAGCCUCAUGAUCACAAUAUUUUAAUCUUCUGAGCACUUGGUAAUACCUUCUACCAUUAAAGAUGGGUAGGCUUUUUACUUGCUGCUUCAAAUCAGGAAGUGAUUGAGCUCUUUCAAGGACUCAUUUGGCAUAACUGGCAUCUGCUUUCAAAACACUUGGGGAUUGAAUAUCUUCAGAGCAGUUCCCUCUUGGAUGGGGUUCUCCCGAUAUUGAUGGAUUUGUUUCUAAGGAAACAGAGACAGAAAGAACAAAGGAAUAAGAGACAGGAGUCCCCAUUUUGCUCUUGGAUUGGCCCCUGGCAUGCUAAUCGCUUAUCUACACCAGGGGUUCCAAAAAUGAACGUUUUAUACUCAGAUUCUUAGCUUAUCCCCAUGCAGCUCAGCCUCUUUCCAGAGCCUCCCCCAUUUGGAGCUACCCUUUGUGGCGGAGCCAUAACUUCAGGGCCACCUCCUGCUCCUUUCCUCCAUCCAUUCUCUUCAUCAACUCUCCACCUAUUCUUUCAUCCAGAUUUCACCUCCAGAUGCCCUCCUUCCCCUGUAAGGGAUACUCAGCGUGACGUGCACGUGACCCGUACAACUCAUGAUACACUAUUAGUCCACAGCACAAGUAUGGAUUCUCUUCCUUUCCAUAUUUGAUAUUUCCUUUACUCUGGCUUAGAAAUUUACAGGAAGCUAUAUGUAGAGAAAAGUACAAUUUGUCAUUAAGGCAGGUGAAUGAUAAGAUGCAGUGACCGCAUGAGACUCAGAUGGAAGCUUUCUGUUUUCCCCUUUGGAAUGGGCCAUCUCUGACUUGGCAUUUCCUGGUUCUUCAGAGGUGUGCACAGCACAAUGUUAUAUGAACAUGUUAUAUGAAUGAUUCAAUGUUAUAUGAAUCAGGCAGAUGAAGAGUGAAGGGGUCCACUAAAGAAAAAUCUAAUCGGACUUAAAAAAAUGAAUAUAGUACACAGCAUAGUGCCUACAGUUAAUACACAGUGCCUGUAUUGUAUAUGUGAACAUUUGCCAAAAGGGUAGGUCUUGGGACUUCCCUGGUGGCACAGUGGUUAAGAAUCUGCCUGCCAAUGCAAGGGACAUGGGUUCGAGCCCUGGUCCGGGAAGA